CAGCCGCCGCGGUAAUACGAAGGGUGCAAGCGUUAAUCGGAAUUACUGGGCGUAAAGCGUGCGUAGGCGGUGAGUUAAGUCUGCUGUGAAAUCCCCGGGCUCAACCUGGGAAUGGCAGUGGAUACUGGCUCGCUAGAGUGUGUCAGAGGAUGGUGGAAUUCCCGGUGUAGCGGUGAAAUGCGUAGAGAUCGGGAGGAACAUCAGUGGCGAAGGCGGCCAUCUGGGACAACACUGGCGCUGAGGCACGAAAGCGUGGGGAGCAAACAGGAUUAGAUACCCGCGUAGUCCCUGUCUCUUAUAC
rnacentral:rRNA from 1 species